UUUUUUUUUUUUUUUUUUUUUUUUUACUAAGAGUCUUCCCAUGUCUGCUGCCUCUCAAGUGCUGGGACUAAAAGCUUGUGCCACCAUGCUUCUGGGAACCAUUAGGGUCUAGUUGUUAGCAGAGCAGAAGUCUGUGGAAAUAGUUUAGUAGCACUUACUCCUGUGCACAAAGAAUAGCGUUUAGCUUCCCACCAUGAUGCUAAUAAGUUAAUUCAUAAAAUCGUACAGUUAGACUCAUGGCCGAGGCCAGCUUGAGCAAGGUAGUCAGUUUAUAUAAAAAUUAUUUAAACUAUGCAGCAGCAUCCUUCAAAAAUCACAUAGAAGUUCAUUAGCCUAAAACUCAGCUUCACAGCUGUGCAUGUGAGAACUGCAGCAUCGUCUGAGAAAGUCAUUCUGCAGUUGUCAGCUGUGCAGAGAAGAAAGCAUUUCCUUGAACGGAAAGGGACUGCGUUAUUUCAGGUCUCAUAUUCCACUGAGGCCUUGGUCACUGCCAUGUGUUCUUGGGAGGUUAAUUUUAUGCUCGAGCCAAGAAUCCUUUAAGUCUUGCUUUUGGUUCCCUGGAUUUUAAAAUAGGUUAAAUAAAAAAUAAUAUACUUUAAAAGCUAUUUUUAGUCAGUGUUUAAAAUUUCAGGCUUAAAAGGAAGUGUGCUUUAUAUUGAUCAAAAUGUUACCAAACAAAUCCUGUUAUUGAACCUGAUAAGUAUCAUGGGAUUUAUUCAUUUAGCUGUUGUUAGAAUACCUCAGUUGGUUUGGUCAGAACUUAAAUGUCUUUCCAGCACAUCAUGGUUGAAGUAAGCCAGGCACUGGUGGUGCACACUCCUUAAUCUCAGCACUGAGGAGGCAGAGGCAGGCAGAUCUCUGAGUUCAAGGCCAGCCUUUUCUACAGAGUGAGUUCCAGGAUAGCCAGGACUAUACAGAGAAACCCUGUCUCAAAAAACAAAUAAUAACAACAAAAACAAAAGAAAAACCACUCAGAUUUUGGUUACAUUGUGUGUGUUUAGUUUUGAUGUGCCUCCUGUUAGCCCAUAAAGUCCUGUUGGAGCAGUGUUCUGGAGGCAGCCGCAGGAGGAAAGUCUGAGGCUAUACAGGGAGACUAUCCUUCAAAUAUAAGCAAGAGUAAAAAUUGUUGCUGAAACUCAUUCUUAUGCUGUGGAGAGCAAUGUAGUUAUGUUCAUUCAUUGUAACAAUUUCUAUUUGACUUCUCUAAAUGAAAAAAAAAAAAAGUCCGAAUGAGACCAUUUUUUUGUAAAUGUUAAAAUGAAGGCUCUGCUAUCCCCAGGUUCUUGGAAGCCAGCUCGUACAGUACAUAAAGACAAUUUCCUAAAGUCCUUGGAAGGGAUGCUGGGGAUUGAUGAGAUGUUUGCAGUUGUUCCGGUCACAGUUAUCACUUAACUCCACACGCUGACAUGGAUAGAAGCCCUCAGAGAUGUUCAGAUUCCCUCUUGUCUCUGAGUUCAUUUCCCAGGCUAAUGCUGGUCUUGUAGUUGAUUCUCUUGUGUCGAUCUGACUGAUUGAUCAGCACCAAGCUUCUAGGUGAUGCCAAGGUCAUGAUUUUUUCACAUUUCUGGGGCUCAACAAAAGAAGAAAACCUUAGUAGAAAGCUAAGUAGAAAAGCUAAAAGCUUUUUUGUUACUGGUUGGUUGGUUUGUUCUUUAAGCUGCUUCCUGCCUGUCCUGUAAUUCUCUGAACUCAGAGAUUAGCCUGCCUCUGCCUCCAGAGUGCUGGGACAAAAGGUGUAUACUACCACACGAAGUAGCAGCCGCCGCUGCUGCUGCUGCUGCUGCUUCUCCUUCUCCUCCUUCUCCUCCUCCUCCUUCUCCUUCUACUACUACUACUACUUCUUCUACUACUACUAAUUUCUUCUUCUUUCUUUCUUCUCUGCUGCUGCUGCUACUCCUUUUCCUUCUCCUCUUUCUCCUCCUCUUCUUCUUCCUCCUCCUCCUUCCUUAUCAUCAUUAUUGAAAUGGUCUCACUGUGUAGUCUUGGGUGCCCUGAACUCGUGUGCACAUGUGGCUUCAGACUGACUUGUGAGUGCUGGGAUUAAUGGCAUUUACCACCACACCUGGCAAUAACAAAUCUUACACUGAUUUGCCUAGAUCUAGUUUUGAGAUUUUAAACUAUGGUAAAGGUUGAGGACUUGGUUGCACAGGCCCUGGUUUGCCACCUAGCAACAGAAAACACUGGUAAAAGACUGCAAAUGUCAUUAGUGCUUGGAGUCCCAAGGAAAUGGUAAGAAAAUGAAGUGGAUCAAGAAGUUAAUUUAAGAGGUUGUUCGAAAAUCAAGCCAUGGAGGUCAGGUCACUUUAUGCUAGCUUAGAGGUCAGAAAACAGCUUCAGGAGUUACUGAAGGUAAAAACACUCGAGACUCAGAAAGGGAAUGUUGACUGAUAACAAUAUCAGUUGAGUUGGUUUGAGAUUUGUCUCUGACCCUGAAGUGGCAGGGUAGGGUUAUGUAGAAGCACUCAGAUGACAGGUAAGUCAACAGUAUGUGUGGCCAGUGCAGCCUCACGCUUCCUAGGGACUGACACGGCUGGGGUGUGAGAGCCCCGAUCAUCCUGCCUCUGAUGAUUACAGGCACGUGCCACACUAGACGGUUUGUUCAGCUUAAGCAUUAGGUUGGAAAUAGACAUAAAGUGAAGUAAGUGAUGAAUUUUAUAUUGUGUUGUACCCUAAUUUGAAUUUAAAGUAGGCAGUAGGUAGGGUUAAUUGGUAGACUAUCAUGUACAGCCCUUUGGGUUUAUCCCAACACCAAAAAAAAAAAAAAAGAAAAAAGAAGAAAAAGAAAAUCAGAGUAUCACAUUUUGAUCUGUGAGAAACUCAGUUUGGGGCUGGGAAUGUAGCUCAGUGGUAGAGAGCUUGUCUAAGGUACACAAGCUUGGGCUGGAAUAAGAAACCCAAGGAAAAUGUCGGGCAUGGUGGUGCACGCCUUUAAAAUCCCAGCACUUGGGAGGCAGAGGCACGAGGACCUCUGAGUUCGAGGCCAGCCUGGUCUACAGAGUGAGUUCCAGGACAGCCAGGGCUACACAGAGAAACCCUGUCUCGAAAAACU
rnacentral:lncRNA from 1 species